rfam:Yersinia enterocolitica subsp. palearctica PhRBD_Ye1 contig00036, whole genome shotgun sequence.
CCCCAUACUGUUUUUCUGAAUUCAGUAUGGGGACUCAUUCAGUCUGCAACGAGGGUCCGCUCGUG